GGCUUGGUAGCUCAGUUGGUAAAGCGCUCGUCUAGCAUACAAGAGUCCUGGGUUCGAAUGCCGGCCGAGCAC
rfam:Aedes aegypti strain Liverpool supercont1.276 genomic scaffold, whole genome shotgun sequence.